rnacentral:lncRNA from 1 species
UUGUGCCUUUCCAACUCCGCCAUCCCCGUAUUUGUCUAUGUCUGAAUAUAUUUUUUACUGUUGCAUUUGUGGUGUGGGGGUUGUUGACAUCCAGGGAUUAGAGGCCAGGAAAGUUGCUCAAUGUCCUAGCAUGCACAGGACAUCCCCACAAGGAAGCAAUGUAGCCUAGAAUGUCAGUAGUUCAGAGAUUGACAAACCCUAGGUUAAAUGAUUUUUAAGAUCCUUUGCAGCCACUCUGUAACUUGUCCUUUGGACUUCCUGUUAGACUGCUAGAGCUGGAAGAGGACAGAAGUAAAAAUCUCUGCUUCGGAGUCAGACCAGCCCAGGUGGGAACCCAGGCUUUACCACCUAUUGCCCGGAAUAUUGGCCCAGUGGUGACUGAAGGUUCCUUUACACAGGUGUGCAAAAGCCUGCACACUGGUUGCAAAAGACUGGAGGACUUUCCUGGAAGCUGGGUUUUCCUAGCCAGCACUUGGUAUUUAAUUCUUAGGCUGUAAUACAAUAUUUGUUCUGCCAAUUACAAAUUAUUAUGCCAUAUGGAAGCUACUUAACCUCUCUAUGCCUCAGUUUAUGAAAAUUAGGGGAAUAAUAACACCUUCUUGAAAAGAUUGUUAUAAGAAUUAAGAGCUUUGGUCAGAAUGGCCUAUGGUAUGGGGCUGGGGUUGUGGCUCAGUGGUGGAGCACUUGCCUAGCAUGUGUGAGGAACUGGAUUCGAUCCUCAACACCACAUAAGAAUAAAUACAUAAAAUAAAGGUAUUACGUCCACCUAUAACUAAAAUUUUUUUUAAAAAAAAGAAUGGCCUAUGGUAAGCACUCGUUAAGUGUUAGGUACUAUUAUUAGCAUUAUCAUUUUAUUCACAUUUUAAGUGACAGUGAGCAAAAUGCAUUGUCAAGAUCAAAGAAUGUCAUUAUCACUAUUGUUGAGUUUUCUUUUUAUAUAAGGUGGCUUGAGUAGGGCUACUAAAUAUUCAAAGGAAUAAACUCCCCAAGUCACCCUUUGGUGUAACCAAUGUGUUAAGCAAAUUAUUUAAUUUCACUCAGAUUUAUAUUCCUCAUUUGUUAGAUGACAAUAACAAUAGGCACGAUGUUGUUCUAAGCAUUAAAUGAGAUCAAAUGAAGCACUUAAACUGCAUAACAUGCUAACUGCUCAGUAAGCAAUAAAUAUUUAUCUUCUAAUUUGAUUAGUGGCUGGAAAGAGACACCCAGGCAUCUCUUAACAUCACCAAGGUGGAAGACCAAGUGCCUGCAAGCUCAUUGUUGAGGUGUAUUAACUCCAUCCUAAGUCAAGGGUCCCAGUUGGCAGUACCCUACACAGAUGGAGCCUGAUCCUGUCAACCAAGCAUCCUGGCUUCCAAGGAAAAUCAAGAUGUUACUCAGCAGACAUUAUGAUUGAUGUAUGUAUAUAGGUGACUCUAUGACCAGUGUGAUUCUGCAAUCUGUACAAUUAGAAAAUGAGAAAUUAUACCCCAAUGAUACAAAUGUAUGAAUUGCCAAGAUCAUUGUAAUGUCAUGUGUAGAUAAUAAUAAUAAAAAAAAAGGUGUUACUUAGUG